AUAUAAAACCUAUAAACUCAUCUUAACAACAAGAAAAUAAUAAAACCUAUGUGGGACGAUGAAAAAUGUUUCAUGUAUAUUUUAAACAAGAAAAACAAUUCAAAUAUUUUGAUCAACAACAUCAUAACUAAUGAAAUGUUUCACGAACGUACCUUUCAUUGAAAAGAUUCAAAGAGAAUGAUUCUUCCUUGCCUCUCUUUCUUGAACCUUCUUUCCUUUUAUCUUAAUAUUUUCUUUUUCCACCUUUGUUGUUGCUU
rnacentral:lncRNA from 1 species